CUUUUUAAUGAUUUCGGUUUUGUUUUCUGCUUUUUGGAUUUUGAUAUCGAUAAAUUUGCCUUUUUGUUAUGGCUGCAUUGUGUUUGGUCUUGUAUUACUCGUUAUGAUAUAGAUUUGCGCAUUGCUUUAUUCGAUGACUUGCAUUGUAGUCUUAAUAUGAGAAACUUUGUUGAGGAAUUGGUGGAAUAAUGUAUUUUAGUGGUUGGCGUUUUACUCUGUAAAUGUGAACAAUAUUUGAUUUUUCUAGAAGCUUAAGAUGAUUUGAUUGGGUUACACUAAAGUGAUAAUAGUAAUGUGACUGCGCGUAUCUUUUUAUGUGCUUAAGAUGUGUUGGGAGUUGAUAAUUAGCACUCACAUUGCUAGAAUCUACUGACAGUGAAAAAAGAAAUUUUGGUAGCUAGUUCCCAUUUGUGCAGUAACCUAUGGAUUGUAGAAACAGUGAAUGGGUUUUUUUUUUUUUACUUAUUAUAUAUGAAUGUGUAAUGGAGUGUAUUAAUUUUUGGUAAUAUAUGAAACACAAAGGCCUUGAAAUAACUAUAAGCUGGUCAAUAUAAACCUUUCUCAUUUCUGUAUUAUAUAAAUAGGUUUCUAGUUCCUACAUUGAAUACUGGGAGAUGGGCAUUAAAGUUUACCAUUACAUUACAUGCAUAGACAUGUGAUUUUGUGAAGCUGUUAUGUUAAAGCCCAUAGAUUUUCAAUCUUAAAAAAAGAUCUAAUUUCUUUGUCUUUGUCUCUAUCUCCGCUUACGGCGACACCAACCGCAUCAACUCCACCGUCCAACAAGCUCUCUCCUCCACCGGCAUCUCCCUCAACCACGUCCCCACCGUUAUCAACUUGAAGCUCUAGAGAUGGCAAUCAAGAAGAACACUAUAGUGUUCUUGGAGACUGGCUCUGGCAAGACUCUGAUUGCCAUUAUGCUUCUGCGCAGCUUUGCCUAUCUUCUCCGCAAACCUUCGCCUUUCAUUGCAGUCUUCUUAGUUCCCCAAGUUGUGUUGGUCCCUCAAGUAUGCCAACUGUUAACUUCCUCUCUUUCUCAUUGUAUACAUAAUCACAUGUAUGUAAUAGGCAUAUGUAAUUGUUUAUGCAUUUAAGGUAUUAGGUUUUUUAUUUAAA